rnacentral:rRNA from 1 species
GAUGAACGCUGGCGGCGUGCCUAAUACAUGCAAGUCGAGCGAACGGACGAGAAGCUUGCGGCGCGGAUGUUAGCGGCGGAGGGGGGAGUAACACGUGGAUAACCUACCUAUAAGACUGGGAAAACUUGGGGAAACCGGAGCAAAUAGCGGAGAAUAUUUUGAACCUUAGGGGGGAAAAGAGAAAGACGGGGGUGGGGGCACUAAUAGAGGGAUCCGCGCUGCAUGAGGUAGUUGGGCAGGUAACGGCCUAUCAAGGCAACGAGGCAUAGCCGAGCUGAUGGGCUGAUCGGCCGCACUGGAGCUGAACCGCGGUCCAGACUCCUACGGGACGCAGCAGUCGCGUAUCUUCCGCAAUAGUCGGGAGCCUGACGGAGCAGCGCCGCGUGAGUGGUGACGGUCUUCCGAUCGUAAAACUCUGUUAUUGGGGAUGAACAUCUGUGUACGUUGCUGUGCACAUCUUGACGGUACCUGAUCAGAAAGCCACGGCUAACUACGUG